UUCCCAAUGAGGAAGAAUUCCCAUGGAUAGGAAGUGCCGUAUGACACUUUACACAGCAGCGGCAACGCCGCUAGGGGAAAUCCCGUUUUCCCAUCCGCCAGUCGCCAGGCCCCUCUGAUUCUUGUUCUUAGGAGCUUUGUCGAUUGGCCGGGAAUCCACGCGGGGUUUCCUCAUAGCUUGUUCCGCUGUGUGGUUGAUUUGAAACGGGUCUCUGAGGGUU
rnacentral:snoRNA from 1 species